UCAGAAGUAGCACAAUGGUUGUGCGUCAGACCUGCUCAGCUGAAGAUCCAAGUUCAAUUCUUGGCCUCUGAC